rnacentral:rRNA from 1 species
UACGUAGGGGGCAAGCGUUGUCCGGAAUCAUUGGGCGUAAAGAGCGCGUAGGCGGCCCUGUAAGUCCGCUGUGAAAGUCAAGGGCUCAACCCCUUGAAUGCCGGGUGGAUACUGAGGGCUAGAGUCCGGAAGAGGCGAGUGGAAUUCCUGGUGUAGCGGUGAAAUGCGCGAUAUCAGGAGGAACACCGGUAGUCGGAAGGCGGACUCGUGGGCCGUACUGACUGACUGGAGGAGCGAAAG